AAGGGAAGCUGAACUCCCCGACGGCUCUCACGCUAAACAAGCACUGGCCUUGAGAUAAGCAAUGCUGAAGCACUUGCAGCUCACCCAUUACCAUAAACUGACUGAGCCCUCCCUACACAAGCCAUAACUACAGCUUUGAUUGGACAAGAGACUGAUUUCAGUAACUUCCCCUUGAUAAGAGAGCACUGGCUGUGGACGGGUUCUGGACGUUUUACAGAGGCUGUGCACUUGACUGCCUUUGUGUCCCUGCUUCCCCUUUUGAAGCAUAGGGACUAAUUAUAAUGUAUUUAAAUGUCAUCUCCACCCCAAAGUGAACAUGGGUUGCAUGUAACAGGCUUGUUUACUCAGCAUGCAUGCAGCACGAUCCCUUCAUGAAUAUUCAGAGCUCCUCCUAUUCCCUGUUGAAUAUGCAUAUGUGGCCCACCAGAUCAACAUAAAUCCCUGUUCCCCCCUCCCCUCCCUGGAAACCUACUUUUCGGUUUCAGCAGGAGGGUAUGCCUCCCAGUCUGUGGGAAUGGCCACCUUGCAGGCUGUAACCAUUUAUAAAAAAUAAAAUCUCCCUUCUAAAUUUAUAAAUUGUGUGAUUUUUCAGUUGACAGCUUUCAGUCAGACUUUUCACUGACUGGGAAAAUUCAUUUGCAAUAUAUUUAUUUUAAAAAUGACUCCUCAGCAUACAAAAUUCUUGUGCAAAGAUCACAAGC
rnacentral:lncRNA from 1 species